GGAUGAACGCUGGCGGCGUGCUUAACACAUGCAAGUCGAACGCAUCAGCCGCAAGGCUGGUGAGUGGCGAAUGGGUGAGUAACACGUAGGAAUCUGCCAUCCAGUGGGGAAUAACUCCGCGAAAGCGGCGCUAAUACCGCAUGCGACUGCCGUGAGGUAGGGAAAGCUUCGCAAGAGGCGCUGGAUGAGGAGCCUGCGGCCCAUCAGCUCGAUGGUAGGGUAACGGCCUACCAUGGCAACGACGGGUAGGGGACCUGAGAGGGUGGCCCCCCACACUGGCACUGACACACGGGCCAGACUCCUACGGGAGGCAGCAGUGAGGAAUAUUGCGCAAUGGGCGACAGCCUGACGCAGCAACGCCGCGUGGAGGAAGAAGGCUUUCGGGUCGUAAACUCCUUUUGUCGGGGAAGAGCAAGGACGGUACCCGGCGAAUCAGUCACGGCUAACUACGUGCCAGCAGCCGCGGUAAAACGUAGGUGGCAAGCGUUAUCCGGAUUUACUGGGCGUAAAGCGCUCGUAGGCGGCCUGACAGGUCGGUUGUGAAAUCUCCUGGCUCAACUGGGAGGGGGCGACCGAAACCGUGAGGCUUGCAGGCUAGAGAGGGACAGGGAAUUCCCGGAGUAGUGGUAAAAUGCGUUGAGAUCGGGAGGAACACCAGUGGCGAAAGCGCUGUCCUGGCUGGCCCUGGACGCUGAGGAGCGAAAGCGUGGGGAGCGAACGGGAUUAGAUACCCCGGUAGUCCACGCCGUAAACGAUGAGAACUAGGUGUGGGCCGUUUGACCCGGUCCGUACCGCAGCCAACGCGCGAAGCUCUCCGCCUGAGAAGUACGGUCGCAAGGCUAAAACUCAAAGGAAUUGACGGGUCCCCGCACAAGCGGCGGAGCGUGUGGUUUAAUUCGAUGCUACACGAAGAACCUUACCCAGGUUUGACAUGCUGGUGGUAGGGAAGGGAAACCGGACCGACCCGCAAGGGAGCCAGCACAGGUGCUGCAUGGCUGUCGUCAGCUCGUGCCGUGAGGUGUUAGGUUAAGUCCUGUAACGAGCGCAACCCGUAUCGUCAGUUACACGUGUCUGACGAGACUGCCGGUUUCAAGCCGGAGGAAGGUGCGGAUGACGUCAAGUCAGCAUGGCCUUUAUGUCUGGGGCGACACACACGCUACAAUGGGCAGUACAAAGGGAAGCCAAGCCGUGAGGUGGAGCCAAUCCCACAAAGCUGUUCUCAGUUCGGAUGGCAGGCUGCAACCCGCCUACCUGAAGCUGGAGUCGCUAGUAACCGCGCGUCAGCCAUAGUGCGGUGAAUACGUU
rnacentral:rRNA from 1 species